rnacentral:rRNA from 1 species
GAUGAACGCUGGCGGCGUGCCUAAUACAUGCAAGUCGAGCGAAUGGAUUAAGAGCUUGCUCUUAUGAAGUUAGCGGCGGACGGGUGAGUAACACGUGGGUAACCUGCCCAUAAGACUGGGAUAACUCCGGGAAACCGGGGCUAAUACCGGAUAACAUUUUGAACCGCAUGGUUCGAAAUUGAAAGGCGGCUUCGGCUGUCACUUAUGGAUGGACCCGCGUCGCAUUAGCUAGUUGGUGAGGUAACGGCUCACCAAGGCAACGAUGCGUAGCCGACCUGGGAGGGUGAUCGGCCACACUGGGACUGAGACACGGCCAAGACUCCUACGGGAGGAAGCAGUAGGGAAUCUUCCGCAAUGGACGAAAGUCUGACGGAGCAACGCCGCGUGAGUGAUGAAGGCUUUCGGGUCGUAAAACUCUGUUGUUAGGGAAGAACAAGUGCUAGUUGAAUAAGCUGGCACCUUGACGGUACCUAACCAGAAAGCCACGGCUAACUACGUGCCAGCCGCCGCCGUAA